rnacentral:rRNA from 1 species
GACGAGCGCUGGCGGCGUGCCUAAUACAUGCAAGUAGAACGCUGAAGCGAGGAGCUUGCUCUUCUUGGAUGAGUUGCGAACGGGUGAGUAACGCGUAGGUAACCUGCCUUGUAGCGGGGGAUAACUAUUGGAAACGAUAGCUAAUACCGCAUAACAAUGGAUGACACGUGUCAUUUAUUUGAAAGGGGCAAUUGCUCCACUACAAGAUGGACCUGCGUUGUAUUAGCUAGUAGGUGAGGUAAUGGCUCACCUAGGCGACGAUACAUAGCCGACCUGAGAGGGUGAUCGGCCACACUGGGACUGAGACACGGCCCAGACUCCUACGGGAGGCAGCAGUAGGGAAUCUUCGGCAAUGGGGGCAACCCUGACCGAGCAACGCCGCGUGAGUGAAGAAGGUUUUCGGAUCGUAAAGCUCUGUUGUAAGUCAAGAACGGGUGUGAGAGUGGAAAGUUCACACUGUGACGGUAGCUUACCAGAAAGGGACGGCUAACUACGUG